CCCUUAGAUGUUCUGGGCCGCACGCGCGCUACACUGAUGCAUUCAACGAGUCUAAAACCUGCUCUGAUAGGGGUGGGUAAUCUUUUGAAUGUGCAUCGUGAUUGGGAUAGAUGAUUGCAAUUUUUCAUCUUCAACGAGGAAUGCCUAGUAAACGCAAGUCAUCAGCUUGCAUUGAUUACGUCCCUGCCCUUUGUACACACCGCCCGUCACUCCUACCGAUUGAAUGAUCCGAUGAAUAUCAUGGAUUGAGGAUGCAAGCAGGUUCGCCUGUCUUCAUCUUCGAGAAGUGAAGUAAAUCUUAUCAUUUAGAGGAAGGAGAAGUCGUAACA
rnacentral:rRNA from 1 species